UCCAGACUCCUACGGGAGGCAGCAGUGAGGAAUAUUGGUCAAUGGUCGGGAGACUGAACCAGCCAAGCCGCGUGAGGGACGACGGCCCUACGGGUUGUAAACCUCUUUUGCCGGGGGACAAACGGCGGCACGCGUGCCGUCCUGAGGGUACCCGGAGAAAAAGCAUCGGCUAACUCCGUGCCAGCAGCCGCGGUAAUACGGAGGAUGCGAGCGUUAUCCGGAUUUAUUGGGUUUAAAGGGUGCGUAGGCGGGAUGCAAAGUCAGCGGUAAAAUACGGGGGCUCAACCUGCGUCCGCCGUUGAAACUGGCGUUCUUGAGUGGGCGAGAAGUACGCGGAAUGCGUGGUGUAGCGGUGAAAUGCAUAGAUAUCACGCAGAACCCCGAUUGCGAAGGCAGCUCACUGGACUGCAACUGACACUGAGGCUCGAAAGUGUGGGUAUCAAACAGGAUUAGAUACCCUGGUAC
rnacentral:rRNA from 1 species